GUUAUGUCUUGCUCACAGGGUAUUUCAUUGAUGAACACGGGCACUCAGAACAACAGGUACAAGUCCGGGAAGUCUCCUAUUCCUGUUUUACUCUCAUUUAUUGAUGAGAGAAACCAAGACUAAACUUUACUGACUCAAUUAUGCCAGGGGGAAAAUUAGCAGUAAUCGGAGACAUCAGUGCAACAGUCAGCGGCCAACAGAAAUCAGUCGUUGCCGGGAACCCAGUCCUCAGGGACUGCAAGGUCAGCAGCUGCUGUCCCACACUGAGCUUACCAGACCACAGCGUGCACAUUUUAAUCUUCAAUACAUUCUGCAUGCAAGUGAGGAAUGGUAAUCUAAAUGGAGUUGAAGUAAGUGAGCAGCUUCUCUGCUAUUUGGGUGACUCAUCUCCACAAGCAUGUGUGCAUGCUGAUGUGGUUUGGGAAGUGAGAGUGAGUGCCAAAAGCCACUCAUCAAUGAGGCACAUGUGCCUGACUGUGAAAGAAUUAAUGAUGCUGUCCACAGUUCUUCCUGUACUAAAACUAGCUGUCAAUGUGAGGCAAGCAAUAGUAGCUUCUAGCAGUAUGAUGAAACAUGAGCAGGGAGUGGUUUAACUGUGUUACGCAAAAAGCUUUUGUUAUGAACGUUUCCUAUAAUUGUAAAAGAAAAGAAAAAAAGAUCUGUUGUAGUGUAUGUAAUAGGCAGCUUUAAUCAGAUGUUUUGAUAGAUUUACAAGAAACAAAUGCUGGUCAGUUGGAGUUUUGCUAUUUAAAAUACAGCGACUCAUCUUGUGAGUCUAAUUGGUGAAAUUAUAGUUUAUAAAACAAUAUUUUGAUAUGAUUCUUGUAAAAAAUAUAAACUGUCAGUUACAGGAAAACAUACACUGAAGGUCACACCCUAUUUAAAAAUGACUGAUGAACAUUUAAACACCCUCAACUAAAAAGGUUUAUGCUUUUAUAACUAUCAUAUUUUUGACCGCUCAGUCUCAAAUUGUAGGUAACACUGACAUUGUAUUGUAAAAUCUCCUAGAUUAGGUAAGGUUUAAUAUAUAAAUGCAGCUAUUGUUCACUAAUAAACUUUAUGUUUAUUAUGUUAAUGGUAUCUCA
rnacentral:lncRNA from 1 species